AUAUCACUUUCUCAGGAUGAACUAUCCAAGAGGUUCUUAGUCAUAAGAUCACUGUAUGAAUCAUCAUACCUUGGUAUUCUUCGUAUGGUUAGAUUUCUGAUUGGAGUCCCAUCUUCUGGACGGCUCUUUAUUAGAUUCUUUACCUAUGUCAAGUCGACAGUUUGGAAGUAACAGUAUGCGGUGAGUGAAAAAUUCCAAGGCAAGAGAUGCAAUAAUUUUAAUUAGAUUUCCUGCUGCUACGUCAUUAAGGCAAGGUAACUGUGAACCACAUAGGAAAGUUUUGUUUGGUUGAACUCACCAGUACAAGCCCAACAAUGUUAGCCGGGCUUCCCAAGUAGACAGGCACCCGGCUAUGCCCUUUGCUCAAUAUUAGACCCAUUGUGUCACUGAGGAAGAGAUCAAAUAAUCACAGAGGAACAAGAAAAUCUUGCAAUGGAGAAAAAAUUAAGUCAAGUCUAGUGCUCCAGAGAUAAUGGUUGUUUCAUUGUGGGACAAUUCACCCCCUUUUCCUGCCUGAUUGCUCAAAAUUGUUCACAUGUAGGGAAAACAGUGAAAUUGAUGCUGUUAUCUACAUUGGUGUUUGGUAAUGGACAAUUGUGCAGGUUGUGAGCUUUUAACUAACCUCAUUUCCAUGCAUAUCGACAAGUAUUUUCAGCUCCGCACGCCUCAGCAGAGCAGAGUGCCCCUUCCCAAGCAGCAAGUCCAAAAGCUUGUGCUUUGAUGAGGACUUCCAGAUCAACGAGGCUGAGGGACAUCAGUCCUAGAGUAAGGCCAGACAUGAGUCCUGCGAAACAAACAAGCGCGAUGCAUAUCACUAGAUACACCCAAAACAUCGUUUCACAGCAUGGGACAUCAUUUGCUGCCAUUGCAAUCUAAACAGAAUUACUUGCAACUGCUCCAGGUGGUAUCUCGGCCGGUAAGGCAUUUGUAAGAAUAGAAGACAUCUCGAUAAUGAGUGUGCCACUUGACCAACGAGGCCCCUCAAGGACUUUUGCUAUCCUAGGUUUCAAGGCUCUUGUCGAUGUUGGAUUUGAGAAGGCAACCCUUUCCCCUCUCCUUGAGUUCAAAUGCAGAUACCAAGAAAAGCACCAAAGUUAUAAUUGUAACAUUAUAAUAGAGUCAUGCACAGUUCGGUUUAAUAAUAUUAGUUUGAAGCAGAGUACUGUAAA